AAUCUGACCCCUGAACAGUUCAAACACAAGCCGCUUACACACACAGAUCCAGCAAUAAACGCGGAAAGAAUGUCCGCAACAGUGGACGUAACCCUGCAACAGUGUGUGCUUUCACACAGCGAUCCAGCUUUCCAGGUUAGACCGUGAAAAGAAAAGAAAACGUGACUUGUAACAGUGUUGAAACGCCACACCUGUUCCGCCAUGCCGGUGUGGCUUUUCACUACUUUCUCUAUCUAUUUACUAACAGCUGUGUUUUUUUAAAUUAAUUCUGGGAUGAUUGCUGUGUCAGUCUGAAUUCCAGGAUCCGGGUUGAGUUGUGUCCUCCCUGAUGGAGAAGAUGAGUCUGUUAGUAUUUUUAUUAUGAUUAACUGUGUUUGCAGAUUUACAUCCUGCAGCUGCAGCACCAGCAGUGGUGGAGUCUACGUGAUACGCAGGGAUACGAUGACACGAACGUUAAGGUUACUGAAACUACAGAAAACGAGCCGGAUGAGGUGAUGCUGUCGUAACGUUACCUGCAGGCGCUGCUCACCCGCCUGAUCGUCACACUGAACCUUUUCAGAAUCUGAACCAGAAUCAGCUUUAUUUGCCAGAACUACCAGCGUCAGCAUCACUACAACAACCCAGCAGCGACCCACCUCCAUCCACUGCCCGUGGGACUUCAUCUUGAGGACCACGCAGGGGUCGGGUUUGGACAGAGCAUCGCGGUCCGAGAUCCCCUUGCAGCAAACGUGUGUUGCAUGGAACUAUUUCACUCGAGUGUUUCACUGAAAAAAGAAAGUGUG